UACGGGGGGGGCAAGCGUUGUUCGGAAUUACUGGGCGUAAAGGGUUAGUAGGUGGCCAACUAAGUCAGACGUGAAAUCCCUCAGCUUAACUGGGGAACUGCGUCUGAGACUGAUUGGCUCGAGGACAGGAGAGGAACGCGGAAUUCCAGGUGUAGCGGUGAAAUGCGUAGAUAUCUGGAGGAACACCGGUGGCGAAGGCGGCGUUCUGGACUGUUUCUGACACUGAGGCACGAAAGCUAGGGGAGCAAACAGG
rnacentral:rRNA from 1 species